rnacentral:misc_RNA from 1 species
UCCUAAAAUCUACAUUAGGGUUGUGUCUUUUGAGCAAUUAUAAACGAUAGCAGCGAUACUCAAGGCUUUUAAUUGAGUUUCAUUGGAGCUAUACAACUGUGCAUGAUUUUUGGAGUUUCGUUUCAUUCAGAGGACUUGAUUCUAGGAUCUUUCGAGGCCUCUUUGGAUUAGAUUCGAGGAGACGAUUACAAGAUGGCCCAAGAAUGUGAUGCAUAAUCGCUGUAUUUGUUGUGCAGUUGUUUUCAUCAUAUUGUUCUUCACCUUAGCAUUCAUCUCACUUCUAUUUUUUUACAUUGGAAUGUUUUUGAAAAGAUAAAAUAUAAGUUAUACNUAUUAAUACAAUUCAAAAUGCUGGCUCAAAUUUUACGAGAGAUGUACAUUGAUCCUGAUAUUUUGGCUGAGUUGCCAGAAGAACAAAAGCAAAUUUUGUUUGUNAAGAUGAGGGAAGAACAAGUGAGAAGAUACAAUGAGAGGGAAAAAGACUUUGAACACCAGGAAAAUAACACCAUCAAGGCAAAAAACAAAGAAAAUAAGAAAAANGUCCAUUACCUGAUAGCAGCUGAUGGGAAUCCUUGGGUGUGGGUGAUUGAUGAUGACUUGGAUUUAAAAGCUAAAGAACAAGAAUUAAAAGAAGAUCAGCUUGCAGAGCAGCGAGCUAUGGAACAAGCACACAAGGAAGCUAAGGAGCUUAUGAAGAAAGAACAGGAGAAACUAGAAGAGGAAGAGAGAAAGCUCAAAGAAGAACAAGAACGACUUGAAAGGGAGGAGGCGGAAAAGGAAGCUCGAGUAAAAAAGUUGCAAGAAGAAGCAAGAAAACUCGAAGAAGAAAGAAAAGAAGCGGAACGAAAGCAGCGCGAGGAACGACGAAAGCAGGAAGAAAAACGAAAAGCUGAAGAAGAAGCCAGGCGUAAAGCCGAAGAAGAAAAAGCUGCUCGCGCUAAGAAGGAAAUGGAAGAAAGAAUGAGAAAGAUGGAAGAAAGGAAGCGAGAGGCAGAGAGAAAAGCAGAAGAGAAGAGAAAAGAGUUGGAGAAACAACGACGACAAGAAGAAAUGAAGAGACUGGAAGCUCAAAGACAAGAGGAACUGAAACGAUACGAAGAGAUGAAAAAAGCUCAGGAGCUUGAGCGACAAAAAGAAGAAGAAAGGAGGCGUAAGCAAGAGGAGGAAGAAAAGCGAAGACGCGCGAAAGAAGACGAAGAAAGACUGAAGCGAGAAGCACUAGAGAAACUGAGACUUGAGAAGGAAGCACAACUCAAAGCUAAGAAACUUGAAGAGGAGCAGCGAAAAAUAGAAGAAGAACGAAAACUUGAAGAAGAACAAAGAGAAAAAGACAGAAAACGAAAGUUAGAGUUACAACGACUUCGUGAGGAAAGACUGCGCGAGAAGAUGAAACGAGAAGAAGAGCUCGUUCAACAGGAAAAGCGAAGAGCACAAGAGAUCUACCAAAGUCUAAAGAACGUCAGAGAACAAGUAAAACGAAAAGAAGAAGAAGAACAAAAGCAAUUAGACGAAGCUUGGAAGCUAAGCGAAGAAAAAGCUAAAGAAGCCGAGAAGGAAAGACGAAACUCUGUGAGUUUAGCUCGAAGAGAAGUUUUAAGAGAACGAUGGCUUGCUGCCAAGAGAAGACAUACAAUGGGUAAAACACUAACGAUUGAAGCACCACACAGUCCGCCAACAUUGUCCACUCGUAGUGGGUCAAUAACAGUUAAACCUAACCGUGCUCCUCCACCAGUUCCUAGUCACCCUCCACCAGCUAUCCCCAACAAAAAACCACUUGAGAAAACUCGAUCAAAAUCUCCACCAGAACGACCCCCACCACCAAACCGAAAUCGCCCUUCGUCAACUCAAGGAAAAACAAACGAUUCUCAAGUGCCUGUUUCAAUACCUGUCCCAGUCCCUCCAAAGAGAGGACGAAAACCCAAGUCACGAGUCGAUGUUAUUGAGUGGUUUCGUGAGGAAGAACUUCCAAAGCGGGCCUGUUAUUUGGGCGAAAAUGUUCUUCCAUAUUUCCAUGGAAUAAUUUCACGCCAAGAAGCGGAAGAGUUAUUACUUAAUAAGAAAACUGGUACAUUUCUCGUUCGGGUGAGUGAACGCGUUUGGGGUUACACAAUUACUUAUCGCUCAGANGGACGUUGUAANCANUAUCUAGUGGACAGCAGUGAAAAUACCUAUCAGUUCUUUGGACAUAACCAAAUAGCGCACCCCACAUUAAACGACCUGGUCGAAUUUCAUAAGAUUCGACCGAUUUCCGGUAUGGGACAAGAAUUAUUGCAGUUCUCGUGUGGACAAGAAAAGGAGCCGCCAGACUACCAAGAACUAGUUGAGCUUGCAAAAGACCAGGANAUGACAUACUUUUGAUAGGUGAAUUGACAAUUUGAGUUGGCACAUCAUAUAUGCAUUUCAGUCUACAGCACGAUCAUAAGCAUUUCCCAAGAAAGCUCUGCAAAAUGGCUUUUUUUUUUUCGUUGCGUCACAAAUUUUCCUUGAAUCGGAAAGAAAACGAAAAAUGUGAUAAUUCAAACAGAUAAUUCAUUAGAUAAUCAAUACGGUUCUCUUGUAGAGAAAUGAUUUAUAUUUUGNAAUCAAAUCACUCAUGUUUUAGUUCACGUCAGAUUUCUAACAGUUUAUUUUUCAGAACACUAAUUUCAUAUCUAUAGUGCAUUUCGGUCUAUAUUGGCAUGCACAUGGUUAAACUCGAAUAUGUUGAAAGGUUGAAUGAUGGAAAAAUAUAAUCCUGGAAUCAUUAGGUUGUUAAUUCUAUAUUUAGAAAAUGAAUUAGUCACACUACCCUGGUUCCAGAGAUUUUCACAGAGAAUAACAUAGAGAAACCUCUGGAACCAGGUUAUAGUCACACAAGAAACGAAAAAAAGGAACGAUACAGGAACAUGAGACGUACAUAACCGUUAUGGUUAUGUACUUCUGGGAACAUAUAAGAGCAUUAUGCCAAUAGAAUGUUUAAUCAGAUUAUCUUCGAAAUAGGCAUUACAUUUAACCUGUGAAACACUAACUAAUUCUCAGCGUGUAAAAAUUAAAGUGCAAACACUAAAACCAUGAAAANCUAAGUUAGNUAGUGCAAAACUGUACUGAAUUANUAGCAUUAUUAGUCGAACAUAACAGUUUUGGUUCGGCUGCACGUAGAAUAUGAAUUAUGCGAAUUUGUUUGUUUUCUAUUGUCCAAUCAACACUAUUUAGAAUUAAUUAGUGCAAUUUGUUUCUUUCACGCUUUCUAGUGUUUGCACUUUAGCGUUUACACACUGGCUGUGAGACAAAGAGAACAAGAAAACUAUAGAGAAGUCCUGAAAUUAACCCGUGAAACAAAAUAUGACUGUUAACCUGAGGUUGUUAAAUAGAUACUAUUUCACGGUUUGUUUGGCUUCACUCUAGCGUUCUACAUAUUUCACGGGCUUUUGUAAAGUAUCGAUUUUUAGCAAUCACUAUAUAGUUGUUUAAGAGACAUCAAUGACAAGACAGUUGUCAGCUCUACAAAUAAUCCAUAAUUUAAAUCAAUUGAAANUAAAACCACUGAUUGUUAACGAUAACAAGAUUUAUGAUAAACAAAACAAGUAAUGAUUUUA